AGGGGAGCAGGAGGAUUGAGGGGAGCCGGGCGCUGGGGGACGUCGGCGCGCAGGACGUUCACGCCCGCACCUUUCCGGCCUGUGGCGGUUCCAGCCCCAGACCGUUUGCAUCUGGAGGAUUUCUGGCCAUCCAAGAACAAACUUCCGAAUCUCCAAAUUUCCAAGCCUUGGAAAUGGGAAAACAAACCGAGAUCUCUCCUUCUCCAGCCUUUGAAAGAACCGAAGUAACUCCCAACCCUCCCCACCUCCUGGGACCGGCCAGGAACAUUUAUAAGUAAUGACUGUGUCACCUAGGAACACAAAUUAGGCUCCUGUGCUUCCCCUGGGGACGAGCUUUGUCAAACCCACUCGGCAAGUUGAGUCAACAGUGACCCACAGCACCUACUAGAAAUACUUCCCUCAAAUGCAAGACCUGGCAUUUAAAACUGGAAGAUUCUUACCACAUGUGCUCCUGGGCUUCGCGGACUUGAUUGUUUCCAUCUAGGCUUUUGACGUGUGUCACAAAGAAGUAGGAUCUAGAUGCUAGGAUAUAUAAUGAACAUCUACAAAUCAGUCAGAAGAGGACAAACAAUACACUUGGCAAUAGACAUUGGGUACAAAUAAGUAAUUCACAGCAGAAGAAACUUGAGAGAUGGUCAAUAUGUAUAAUAUAUGAAAAGAUAACCCAAUCUCUUUACUUCUCAGGGAAAUGUAAAAUUAAAACAACAGUGAGAUAUAAUACCAUUUUACAUCUACCAGAUGUUGUUCUUCAUAUUUUUAUCACUGGAGCUUAGUAGAGGGUGGACACUCAACAAAUGUCUGUGGUCGUUCUGGGUUGUGGAUUCUGGGGUGUUUUAAAUGAGCUCUCCAUAAUUAAAGAGAUGCAAAUUAAAAACAA